UACGUAGGGUGCAAGCGUUGUCCGGAAUUAUUGGGCGUAAAGAGCUCGUAGGCGGUCUGUCGCGUCUGCUGUGAAAACUCAGGGCUUAACCCUGAGCUUGCAGUGGGUACGGGCAGACUAGAGUGCGGUAGGGGAGACUGGAAUUCCUGGUGUAGCGGUGAAAUGCGCAGGUAUCAGGAGGAACACCGGUGGCGAAGGCGGGUCUCUGGGCCGUAACUGACGCUGAGGAGCGAAAGCGUGGGGAGCGAACAGG
rnacentral:rRNA from 1 species